GUCGACGUCUGUGCGCUUAGAAAUGUUGUAUGUUUACGUCUAUUCAAGGUUGCACGAAAACGCGCGUGUGUAAUCGCGACGACAAUGCAAGGUCGGUCAUGAGCGUCAAAGAAGUUAAACGUUUCAGCGCUAAAAGCGUCUCGGACUUUAAAACAGCAGCAAGUGGUAGCGAGUGUGCUGACAGGAUGCUGCUCGCAAAGGUGGUUGCUUCGGAGCGCAUACCCUGCCGAUGUUAGGCACUACCUAGAGAAGCGGUGCAGUGGCAUAUAUUCGACAGGAAAGCACAGCAUGCCUGGAAAGCUUGUUGUGGGGAAGAUCGCCGAUUUGAUGAAGUUAUCCUGUAAUAAUGAUAAAUAUAGCACAUGCCUCCCUUCAAAUUGAAUUUGUUCAUUUUAUAGAGGCGCUGCUAUGUUGCAGUCCUCAAAUGCCCAUUAUUUAAUAUGCCAAAAUUACGAGUUCCCAGCGGAGAAAUAGGCCAAUAGAUUUCCAAUACACAAAUUCAGUACUAAUAGGCAAAUAGAAUGCCAAUAGACAAAUAUACUACUAAUACGCCAAUAUACAAAUACACAACUAAUACGCAAAUAGAGUGUCAAUAGACAAAUACACCAAUAAACAAAUAGAGGUCCAAU